rnacentral:rRNA from 1 species
UACAGAGGUCCCAAGCGUUGUUCGGAUUCACUGGGCAUAAAGGGUGCGUAGGUGGUUGUGCAAGUCCGAUGUGAAAUCUCCGGGCUCAACCCGGAAAUGGCAUUGGAAACUGCAUGGCUAGAGGGUUGGAGGGGGGACUGGAAUACUUGGUGUAGCAGUGAAAUGCGUAGAUAUCAAGUGGAACACCAGUGGCGAAGGCGAGUCCCUGGACAACACCUGACACUGAGGCACGAAAGCUAGGGGAGCAAACAGG